AGUGAACGCUGGCGGUAUGCCUAACACAUGCAAGUCGAACGGCAGCACAGUAUGAGCUUGCGCUUACGGGUGGCGAGUGGCGGGCAGGUGAGGAAUACAUCGGCAUCUACUUUUUCGUGGGGGAUAAAGUCGGGAAACUUACGCUAAUACAGCUGACGACCUACGGGUGAGAGCAGGGGACCUUCGGCCCUUGCGCGAUUGAAUGAGCCGAUGUCGGAUUAGCUAGUUGGUGGGGUAAAGGCCUACCAAGGCGACGAUCUGUAGCUGGUCUGAGAGGAUGACCAGCCACACUGGGACUGAGACACGGCCCAGACUCCUACGGGAGGCAGCAGUGGGGAAUUUUGGACAAUGGGCGAAAGCCUGAUCCAGCAAUGCCGCGUGUGUGAUGAAGGCCUUCGGGUUGUAAAGCACUUUUGGCGGGAACGAAAAGGACUGUGCCAAUACCACGGUUCGAUGACGGUACCCGCAGAAUAAGCACCGGCUAACUACGUG
rnacentral:rRNA from 1 species